CAGUUUUCCAAAUUCAUUACUGUUUUUAUGUUAUUUAGUUAUUUAAUACAGAGAACACAUGUGUUUCUUCAAUCUGUACUGUAGAACGUAUCCAAUAAUACAAUCUUUAAAAUGUGCUGCUAUUUAGUUUGCGAAAUACCUGGAAUACGGAAUAGACUUAUUUUUUAUAGAAGUUAUAUGAUAACAGUGUGGGAAUUAUGUAGAAGGGAACAUCUGAUUUUAUUUUUCUACUCCUUCCCCACGUGGUUGUCGGGGCGGUCGCAUCACCAACUGGCCAGACUUCUAAUUUUGCAUAAAGUAAAUUGACUGGCUCUGGUUCUACUUCACUUGAGCGAAAGCUUAACCUGAGUGAUCAGACACAGCUUCACUCAUAUAAUUCCAAAUUUCUCACAGCUGGUUAGAAUACCCAGAGUCAGAACUGAGCGCAGUGCGGAGCUCUGCGUGUUACAAACUCUUGAUCUCUGCAGCCAGCGCGACAAAUUCAUUUAAAAAAAGUAAUCUUACAUUUUUUCUAACAUUUGUUUAAAGUUCCGAAGUCAAAAGUUACAAAGACAUUCCUCCAGAAGGAAAGAUAUCAGCGCCAGUUUAUCCUGAAAUCACCGCAAUGAUGGAUUCUACAGAGAAAUUAAACGGAGAAAAAAACGCAGAGAUUCACAAAAGUGCCCACAGAUCUCUCCUGUUUAGAUGUUUGGUGGCGCUACCUACAGUUCUGUGUUUCAUAUUAUCGCUGAGCUCCUUAGCAUUUUGUUUUUUUGUGAGUUUCAAAGCAUACCAGUUGGAAAACAGGGUGAACGAUUUGGAGAUGGAAAAAAGAUCUGUAUUUCAUCCUUCAGAAACCACAAUCAUCGGAGAAGAUGGAAACGUAUUACCUGUACUUCAAGAUACGAUUGAAAGACUCAUACAAGAGAGGUUAAAUGAAGCGAUGCCUAAGCUACGACCUGUAAGAGAUGUGGACCGAGAGUGUUCCUGCCCUCCAGUCAUCUCAGCAUGAGGUAACCUUGCAAAUCUUCAGUCACAAGUCUGCUGGCUUUUAUCAUUUGGUUUGUUUUUGUUCUGAAAGAGACUGGCUCUGGUGCAGCCAACAAGAGAGUCGUGAUUAAAAAAACAACAACAUGCAAAUGAAUGAGGAACAUCAAGCCUGAGAAUGACAGUCCUGCAGUCUUAUUCACAGCAGCAGCUGAGGCUGUAAUCGCUGUGGACAGAAUAGCUUUACAGCAUGUAAUGUGAGUCAUGUUGCUGAAACAGAGAUGGUUUGGAGGUUAUCGCUUUUAUCUUUUUAUAGAUUAGUACAUAUGGCCACAUAUAGUUGUUAUAAGGCUUCUUGUGAAGCUUUAAAAGCUUUGGUAUUUGUUUCUAAAUGUAAUUUGAUUUUGAAGUUUCAUAUGAAUUUUAUUGUAUUAAAGCUCACCUAACUUCUUUGGCUUAAAAAAAAAUACAGUUGGUUGCUGCUCAACAGUUGGCAGGCAUUAUGCCUUUAAUGUGAACCAUAGUAUAAAUCUAAUAUCAACUUUCUUUUUU
rnacentral:lncRNA from 1 species